rnacentral:lncRNA from 1 species
UUUUUUUUUUUUUUUUUUGGUGAGUGGAAGGCCUUGGAGGCUUUUUACUUGCACCCCCAGCUCCCGUGAUUUUGACAUUUGAAUGCUCGAUCGAUCGGGUUGUUUCUCGGUUACAAUCUCAUCUUCCGUGCACAUCACACAAGAAAUAUUGUUCUUUUUUAUUUUUUAAAGAUUUAAAAACUUUUGAAUACUAGAUCGAGGGUUUAAUUUCAGUACACCUCUUUCUCCUGUCAUUUUGACUUUUGAAUACUAGGCUUGGGGUUCAACCCACCGCCUAAUGCAUCACACAAAAAACAUAGCGUUUCUUAUUUUUUGAAAAUCCAAAGGGGUUUUGAAUACUAAAUCGGGGGUUCAAUCCCAUCCAUCCAGUGCAUCACAAAAAAAAAAAAUAGUGCUUCUUAUUUUUAAAAAAAAUUCAAAGAGUGGAAUAGUGCAUUUAUUUAAUUUAUUUAAUCUGAUGAUUUACUUCCCAACUUUCAUUGAAACCCCUUAGGGUGCGUUUGGUAUCCCAUAGAAUUGGGGUUUAGAAUUGGAAUUGGAACCCCAAUUCUAAUUCUUGUGUUUGGACGCUGCAUUUUCCAUAGAAUUAGCAUUGAAUUCUAAUUCCAAGAGAUUCCAAUUCCACAAUCUCAAUUCUUUGUCGGACCAAAAGAAUUCUAAUUUCAAUUCCACAGCUGAAUUCCUAAUCGGGUCGACACGCGGGUCUUGUACGAGUAAAAACUCAAAAAUGGGUCAACUAUAAAACGGAUGGAAAAAACGCAAACCUCUCUCCUUCCCUUUCAACAUAAGUAGAAUAAGAGCCGAAGAGUGUUGAUGACCUGGAUGGUUUUCGUCGUCCUCUCACGUGCGCUGUGCGUGGUUCGUGACGACGUCGUUUUGUGUUGUUUGCUAAUGUGUUCCUCGCGCAUGACUCUUCGAACUCUAACCCUAGGUCAGACCAAAACGCCGCCUCUCUUCCCUUCCCUUUCUUCUCCCCGUCUCUCUCCUCAACCUUUCUCUCUGAUCAUUCUUCUUCCUCUCUCUCUCUCACUCGAUCUUGACCUCUUUAUUUUCUCCUCUGACUUUCUCCACCACACCGUCUCCCUCUCCUCUAAGAGCUCCUGCUACCCCCAACAUCACGAGUCCCCCUUCUCCCACCUCCCUGUGAUUUCCUUUCCACCUCCCUGCGCUUCAAGUUCAUCGUCGUUGGAUCCUCUUCCAGCCUUUGGGAGGACUUUCGAUCCCACCACAAGAUCCUCGCAGUCAUCAGCAUUUUUUACUACUCUUCCUCCCUCAAUCACCAUUCUCUCGCCCUUCAAUUUUAUUUUUAAAUUUUUUGCUCCUCAUUUUUUUUGCAGCCUGAAUAUCAAUAUUGGGCAGUAUUUCGGUGUUUUUGGCUUUUCGAUUAUUUUCCUGUUUCCCAGUCUACAUGCGAAGAUGCCUUUGCUUUUUUGUGAUGUUUUGCUUUGGUUUUCCAAAACAUCUUGAAAUUCUAUGGCUUAAGAGAUGGUCAUUUAGUGGUUUUUUUUUUGUAUCUUGGCUGAUUGUAUUCUUUUUAUUUUUCAGGGGAUUUUUCUUCAACAGCUUCAACAACAGGGUGCAACACCAUCUGGGACGAACAACCCUAUGAAGAGAAUUUUGAGAAAGAGGUGGGUCAAGAUGAUUGCCCGUGAUUUCAUUCAUUUGUUAUUUUUUAGAGGUUUUUUUUGGUCAUGGUGAAUUGGAUGUAAGUUUUUUGAUGGUUUUGAUGAAUUGGAGUCCUAUGUGUUUAAUUGCUUUUAGAUCCGUGACUUUUCUUUUCUUUUGGUUGUAAUAGUCGAAUUCGGAUCUUUGUUGUGCUUUUGCUCUAUUGUAUAUUUGUGUAUGGAUUCGUGUGCACUGUCAGUUUUUCGUCUAUUGCCGUGUAUGCUAUUUAGGAGAUAGGUGGACUAGCAUGGAAAACUACUAUGUUGGAAUGCGAAAUUGAUUUUUGACAUCAUUAUGUUUGCUGAUUUGAAGUGAUUUUGAGCUAUUCUUGUAAGGGAAGAUGUAAAGAAGUUUUUUUUUUUCUUUUUCUUUUCCCCAUGAUGAAUUUGUAGGUGUGGGCACUGUAAGAAGCUUGCUCCAGAGUACGAGAAGGUUGGUGCAAGUUUCACGAAAGUUAAAUCUGUUUUGAUUGGAAAGGUUAGCCUUUCAGCUCUUUUAUGAUCCAUUGACCCUUUCAGAUAUGGUAGGAAAAGUCUCAUUUUUACUCUAGGUUCGUAGUGUUGCUAUAUCAAUUAGGACAUUUGCCAUGGGUUAUUAAGUAGUUUAGCUAAAGUUGGUACAAUCUAAAGCUUGAAACUUCUGGGAAUGUUACUAUUGCAUUGCUGUAGAGAACUCAUAUAUGAUACAAAAUUCAUGGUUUUUGCCAUGCUAUCGUGGUGGGCUUGUUUUAAUGAAUUUUGGAGUUGUACAUUAUUAAGGGUUUUGUCAUUGUUUGAAUCAUCUAUCUUUGUGCUUUUUCUGAUCACCUUAGGAGUUGCCAUCCUUGGAAGUUACAUUAAUAUAGAGCAAGAUGCUACGGCAAAACUCUCUCAGACAAACUAUACGGUUAUUUCGUGUUGAAAAAGUGCUUACAUUUUUCUUUUUAUCCUUGCAAACUGGAUAUGCUCUAUUUGAUUUCCAUCACUGAAAUCUUGAGAAAGUGGAACCUGAGGUCCAUUGCUAUCUGGUUGCUUGUUGGCAUCAACAUCAGUUUAACUGUCUUAGCUAUUGUGAAUCUUCUAUUUUGCAUCUGAUUUAAUGUCAAUACUUAAAAGAUUAAUCAACGAUUUAGCUGUGAAUUAUAGCAAAAUAAGUUUAAUUUUUGAACUUAUUAUCAAAUUAUAUUUGUUGUAGGUGAACUGCAAUGAGCAUAAGAGCGUUGCAGCAAAUAUAGUGUUUGUGGUUACCCUAUAUCCAAUGGUUUCCAAAAGGUUCUUUGGAGCCCAAAAAGUUAGUUUAUGUGAAAUGCUGGAGUUUUCAAAAGGUCUUUGUUUUUCCGUACUUGCUCUGUUGAAAUGAUAUCUAUCCUGGUGUUGACUCUAUGUAAAUAUAACUUACAUGCCUUCAGUUCAUACAAUUGUAUUCCUCAUGAAUCUAUUUUUAUUCUCAGGUAUGAAGGUGCACGACCUGCAGAAGCCCUUACUGAGUUUGUGAAUAGUGAAGGAGGUAAUGUUAUUGUCUAGCUGGCUUGUGUUUUGUGGUCCAUAAGUGUAAUCCAUGCUAACAAGUUUGGUAGAUUUAUGUUAAACUAUAUUUUGGUAGAAGUGUUGAAUAAUCCACAAGGUUGUUAAAAUCCAAUCCAUAUUACUUACGAAGAUUAGAAAUUUACUUCACCUUAAGAUAUCACCAAACUCUUUUGGAUUCAUUGUGCUGAAAUAUCACCUUAAAUACUUGAUACUGGAACUUUGGCGUUAAUUCUUCUUGAUCUUGAGCAUACAUGAACUGUACACUUCCAUCCAUUGUUGAAGACCUGACCUUACUUGGUUUCAUUUCCAAUGAGGUUUCUUCUCUAUCAUUUUUCAUUAUGAAAAAUUUUUAUUUUCCAAAGAUUAGAUUUAAUCUUAAUGAAUUUGUUGCUUUUUCCUAUUUGAAUCAGAUGAGAUGAGCUUUGCAAGACAUUUCUUAUCAUUUUGCCAUUGCAAUAGUUUCUGGAAAAUGCAGAGCCAAGGUACAUUCAUGUAAAAAAAAAAAUGAAUAUUCUGGAAUAUUUUCAAAGUGAGACUCAUUUUGGCUAAUGAAUACUUAUUAGCAGGUUUACAAUGUUGUUAAGUUACCAGAACUUUAUUGUGCCAGCAAUACACUAUAUAAUCUGCCUACCCUACCGCCAAAGGUGUUUCUAUUACAUUUUAGGCAAGAAUAAUGAGUGUUCUGGUAAAUGGUGAGGUUGAGUAUGAUAAAAUUCAGCCCUUGAGAAAAAAUGCCACAUUCACAUUUUUACAUGAAAAAUGCAAGUUUUUCGUUUUGUUAGUUGUGUACAUUGAUGGCCUAUAUCUGGUACCAUGAAAUAAUUGCUUAGAAUAAUGGUUUAUGCAAAUUGAUGGGGUCUGAUGCCAAGUUUAAGAGGGAUAGAGUAGUGUAAUGCAAGUGUUUGUUCCUCAAGUGAGCUGACUUCAAUUAAUGAGCUAUUUUUAUUUACUUGAUGAUAAUGUAAACAGUGAGUUACAUAAUGCUAUAGGGGUUGGUUAAAGGGGAAAGGAAUUAUAUUAUAAUGAGGUGUAUGUUUGGUAACGGUAGAUUUUUGGAUAUGAAAAUGAUAAUAAUGCAUAAUGUUUUUGCCCGAAAAGGUGAUAGUAGUUAUUAUUUUUUUGUUAAGUUUGGUGCAUGAUGACAUGUAGUCCUUAGUUUGCUUUAAUUAUGGUUGAUUCCAUUCAAAUUUGAGAUUGUUUGUAUGUAAUUUGCAGGUUGAUGGCGCUAAAAUUUUCUUGUGGAUUUGAACAAGGUGCUUAAAUGAGCUGACUUUUCUUCAAAUUGGGAAUGGUUUAUGGAUGGUAGUUUUCAUAGUCAUGUCAUAAUGGAAUCCAAUAAUAAUGCUUAGUUCAUAAUUACCAAAAUAUGUAGUUUGUACGAGUGUAGAUUCUAUUUUUUCACAAUCUAUUUUUGGUUCAUAUAUUGUUUCCACUUACUUUUUUUAAGCUGUACAUGAAUACACAUUUUUUCCAUAUAUCAUUGUCGGCUAUUGAGCGAAUUGUUGAAUGUUAUCGGGAAGUUGGGUUCCAUGAAAUUGCCAAAUUGUGCCAUGCAGAAAUUGAAUUGAAGUUGAUUUUGGCAUAUUCAUAUUUUGCUUUCAUGUACAUUUCCAAAUUUGUAAUCUGCUACCGCCUACAAUUCUGGAAUUACGUCCGAAGAUGAUAUUUUGGAUUAUGUUAUGACGUUGAUUAUAACAUUCUAUUGAAUUCAAGACCAAGUUUCUGCCUGCCAAGUCACCUGCACAAGCAGGUUGAUUAUAACAUUCUAUUGAAUUCAAGACCAAGUUUCUGCCUGCCAAGUCACCUGCACAAGCAGGCCGUUGGCUCUGAGUUCUGCAAAAAUCUUAAAACCUCUUAUAGAGAGCAUACUCUCUCUCUCUCUCCAAUGACCAACUUAAGAUUUGAAUAUUCCUUUCGAUGAAUGCUUUAUCCUUGUAAGUUCUAUGUGUUGAACAUAGAUGAUCUAGAUUAUUCCUCCUCCCAAAAUUGCUGUAUUCUUGGUGUAAUAAAAAAAUUUAAUUCUAAUUCAAUUGAAAUGUAUUCUUUUGAAUUUAUAUAUAAUAGAAGUAACAAAGAGACACCCAUCAUCUCUCACACACAGAUAUGCAAGGCAAAAAUCACACUGUAGUAUUCUAACCAAAAAAAUAUUAAACCGAUUUUCACUGUUAUUGGAUUCCGCACUUCAGUUUUAGCAUUAGUUCAGCUUAUGAAACUGUUUCCUUGCAAAUGCCGUUUCUCCCUCUCAUUAACAGCUUCUUUAGCAAUCCUCCACUUCCCCUUUUUUCAACGGUACUUUUUUUCUCUUAUAACGUACGACUUAUGACGUACGAUAUAUGCAAAUCAUCAUGUUCUAUGCUUCUACAUGUCAUGAAAAAUGCUGAACUUUAUUCUCAUGCUAAACGAGCAAUAGAGUAAAGAUAAGACAAGAAUUCACUUUCAAGCUAAAAAAAUAUUAGCUUUAAAUCUCAGCAGUACCUUUAUCUAAAUCUAAAUAAAUAUUCAUACUAUUUUCGUGAAGCGAUUGUACCUUUUAUUUAUUCAUGUAUAUUUAUGUUUAACUGCGUACAUAAAAUUAUUAACCGAUAAAUAUUUUUGUUCUAUGACUCCAUAUAUUUAAGAGGGCAUGUUUUAUAUUUAUCCCAACGCGCAACGCGCGUUUUAUGCCUCCUAGUCAAUUAUCGAUCGCCAUAUCAGAAGCUCUGAUGGAGCAUUCUUCGUCGCCGCCGCCUCCUCCUCCAAUUACGUUGAUAGAGGCACUUUUGCUGCCGCCUCCACCCUUCCAUGCCCCACUCCCUGCCUUUUGCACAACUCAAGUUGAAAUUAUGGGGUUCCAAUUAGUUUCUAUCAGUUUUUUCCUUCCCCUCUUUGUGUUGACUUGUGCCUCCACCUCCGCUGGCCUGGUGUUGCCCACAUUUGUCGUCACCGUGCAUUCUCUCAUGCUUCCUCUCCUGGAUCGCUAAUUACUCUCUCCCUACUAUUCCAGAUUUUCCAGAUAGAUUUAGAGCUUACGAAGGUAACAUCAAAAUUUAAUUUUUGCCAAUUAAACAUUUUUUUAGGGGUUUUUUUUUUAUAAUUUGUGGUAUUGAUUCUAUACGGUUAUUAUUAUUAUAUUAAGCUUAUAAUUUACACUGUUAUGUGAACAAAAGAACAAGUUGGUCUUUGGUUUCGAGUGUCUUGUUUGUUUGAGUCUUAGUUAAUUAGUCAAAGUUUGGCUUGGAACCUUUUCGGAAUAAUGCCUGAAUGUUUAGGAUUUGAGGGUACUUAUGUACAAGUUAGCUGCUAAAAUUUGUCAGUUUACCUUGCAAUUAAAUAAAUGUAGAAAGUAGAAGGUGAUGCUGAUGUUGUGGAAAAAAUCUAUUAUAGUGAAUUAUAUCUCAUCCAAUAUAUUUGUGUGUUUACGUCUUUCAAUUUGAUUAUUGUUGCUCUAAACAUUUCUUUCUUUCUCUUACAUGUGGAGUUGCAGAAGAAAUUUAUAUUGAUGUUUGUACUUCUAAGAAUCAAGAUUGCUUCUUUGAACUGUAAAAUGAUCUGCUUACCGCAUUUCUUUGGGUACUUGGGCAUUUUUUUAUUGAUUAUGAGGCUUUUGGAAAAACCACCUUUGGUUGGAAGUAAACUAAUAAUACUACUAGUACUAUCAUUUUAUUCAUCUCUUGAUUUUCUAUCUCUUGCUUUUAGCUUGAUUCCCAAUACUAACUAGUAGUACUCCUUAAUUGCCUCUGCUUCUGGCGUUUAAACAUCUCCUAUCCCAGUAAUUCCUCAGCCUAUCAUGUUUAAUUACAGGUUAGUGCCAUCUUCUCGCUAUUGAUGGGACCAUUAGCUUACACCAAUAUAUAACUAAGUCCGGACUCCACAGAUGGACAAGAAUUUAAAAGAAUAGUUUCACUAGCCAUGCUUGUCAAGAUAGAUUUCUGGAGAAUGCUAACAUAGAUCUAAAUGACUAACUUGUAAUACAUUUAUGAUGCAGUUUAGAGUUAUGCCAUGAUCCUCACACAUGCACAGACAGGGAGAGGGGAAGUUGGCAGCCCUGUAAUUCCAAUGGUGUGAAUAUUGAAUGCUGACCAUAUUUGCCAAGACAGAAACUGUUGUCUUGGAGACGAGCUUGGCCGUAGGUUUGUACACCACAUUGCGUUUCCCGUCUGCUUUUAAGUCCUUAGCAGAGGGAGAAGAAACAGCAGCCCCGCAUAGAUUAGCCUGGAAUCAGAAGACAUGUAACAGUAAGAUAUCUACGUCUUGGGGGGAAAAUGCAGGAGAAAUUUCUAAUUUUGUGAUGAAUUUUAAAAAAAUUCUACAAAAGGGGUGAUUUUGAUUGGGUAUUCCGUAGGGGGGGUCUUCGCAUUUUGCGAAUGCGAGCUCUGCUUAUUGAGCUCGCAUUCCACAAAUGCGAGCUCAAUAGAGCUCACCCUGAUAUUUUUUUUUUUUUUUGGGCUCUCAUUAAAUUUUUUCCAGAAAAUAGUAAGAGCUAAAUAAAAUUUUUCAAAUAGCUCGCAUUUGAUAAAUUUGACCUCCAAAAAUUGUAUUUAUCAAAUAAAUUUUUGGGCCCUCAAUAAAUUUUUUUUAUCAAAUUCUAAUUUUCCUUUGUUAUUAAUGAAUCGUAUUUAUUUGUUGACACCGACGAAUUUUAGUUAUAAGAAUCUAAUAGUUAAUAGUCAUUAAUAUCUGUUACAAUUUCAACUGUAAUUUUAGAAAUUUCAUAACGCAAUGUUAUUUAAAAAAAUUAUAUAAGUUAUUUUUAUGAAGUGCAUGUUAUUUAUUUUCUUUGUUUUGCUGUUCGACAAUUCCGAAAUCUUUGUUUUGAUGUUCGGCAGCUAUGUUUCGAUAUUGCGUUCUGCUUCUCCCACUCACUUUUGUCUUUUUUUUUUCGAAAUGGGUCUUGGCGGUAUGUAGUGCGAGGAUGCGAGCUCAAUGAGCUCGCAUUUCCAGAAUGCGAAGACCCUCUUUUGUGGAAACAAACCCAAGAACCGCCCUCGUUGUAGAAUUCUUUUUUUUUUUCCAUCAUAAACUGAGAAUUCACCCAAAAUGCAGUGAAUGGGAGGAGAAUUACACUCGAUUGCUCGAAAUGUGAUUGAAAGGACAUUUGGUUUGUCCAAGAAGCGAUGGGCCAUUUUGAGAGAUGCAUCUUUUUUUGAUAUCAAUACUCAUGUCAUGAUAAUUAAUGAAUGCGCCAUCUUCAUAAUCUUAUUCGAGUAGAAGAACCAAAUGAUCCUUACUUGGAUGAGGUUGAUGCUGAGAUGUGAAGAGUACAACAUGAGAUUGAUGAUGAAGAAGAAGAUGAAAUGGAAAAUGAAGAUGAGGAAGAUGGAAUGGAAGAUAAUGGUCCAAAUAAUGAUGGUGGCAUAAGAAUGUCCAUUCUGCUUGUAAACAUGUGAUUGUUGACUUUUACAUUUUUGCUGGACUGAUCGUGACCUAUACUUUCUUUAGGUGGAUUGUGAGGUAAUUUGCUUUUAUCAUUUGAAUCUUGCUUUCAGGUCUCUGAGUUUGCAACUUAAAGGUGCAAAACAUGUUGUAUAUGGCUUGAUGUUUGUUUGGUGUCGAUAGACAACUAGACCCUUAAAUAUAUCAACAAGUUGUGAGAAUAUAAGAUCUUCAGCAUUCUUUGCAAAAGGUCGAAAACGCUCUCUUGCAGGGACUGGAGCAACUUCACUUGUGCAACCAUGAACCAUGUGAUUAAUAUCAGAUUAUUUCACUGGAUUUACAUAUGGGUUUAUGCAUGCAUAAUAUCUGUUUAUGCAUGUGGAUUUGUGUACGUUUGGCAACACACCUUUCUGCUGAUAAUUUUCUCUUUAAAAAUCAACGAAUUGCACAAGAUGAGAUAUUUAUGGUUUGUUGGUAACAAGUGAUGCAGGUUUUUGUUCAAAACUGUUCUUGAAGUUUUGGGUCAAACGUGUCUGCAUGAAAAGGCAUGUUAAUGUGGUCUUGUUAAGAGAUACUUUAGACUUCAUACUUUCUUGUUUUCAUUUUGUGAAUAGUUACUUUCUUGUUCAUCCUUAUGCAGAAGCUUUACUUACAUACACAAUGAACUUUAUCUUGUUGUCUUACAUACCCCAAUUAGUUUUUUAUCUAAUAUAAUUUAAUUAAGAAUAAAGGAAACAAGAGUAAUACUAUAUUUUUUUUCUAGAAAAGGAACUAAUUGGUUUUUUUCUUUAAAGCUUUAAUAACAAUUGGUUAAAUGCAAGAAAAAUAAAUUAUUAAAGGCACUAAUUGAUUUUUUCCUUGAAACUUUAGUAACAAUUAGCUAAAUGUUUAAAAAAUUAUUCCAUAUGAAAAAGAAAAAAAUAAAAUUUUUAUGUAAGCAAAUGUUAGAUGGAAACAAUUCUAAUUCUUAAUGAAUUCUUCUCGCAUCCAAAUUAACAAAGAAUUUGGAAUUCCAAAUGAAUUCUGUAUCAAUUCUAUGCAUUUCCCAAACAAAAGAAUUCCAACGUUUUGGAAUUCCAAUUCCUAGAAUUCUAAUUCUACAAAAUUGGAAUUGAAAUUCUAUAGAAUUAGAUGUGAGCUCACUGAAAAUGCGAGCUCACUGAGCUCGCAUUCUGAAAAUACGAGCUCACUGAGCUCGCAUUCCCGGAAUGCGCUCACAUUGAGCUCGCAUCCUCGCACUACAUACCGCCAAGACCCAUUUCGAAAAAAAAAAAAGACAAAAGUGAGUGGGAGAAGCAGAACGCAAUAUCGAAACAUAGCUGCCGAACAUCAAAACAAAGAUUUCGGAAUUGUCGAACAGCAAAACAAAGAAAAUAAAUAACAUGCACUUCAUAAAAAUAACUUAUAUAAUUUUUUUAAAUAACAUUGCGUUGUGAAAUUUCUAAAAUUACAGUUGAAAUUGUAACAGAUAUUAAUGACUAUUAACUAUUAGAUUCUUAUAACUAAAAUUCGUCGGUGUCAACAAAUAAAUACGAUUCAUUAAUAACAAAGGAAAAUUAGAAUUUGAUAAAAAAAUUUAUUGAGGGCCCAAAAAUUUAUUUGAUAAAUACAAUUUUUGGAGGUCAAAUUUAUCAAAUGCGAGCUAUUUGAAAAAUUUUAUUUAGCUCUUACUAUUUUCUGGAAAAAAUUUAAUGAGAGCCCAAAAAAAAAAAAAAAUAUCAGGGUGAGCUCUAUUGAGCUCGCAUUUGUGGAAUGCGAGCUCAAUAAGCAGAGCUCGCAUUCGCAAAAUGCGAAGACCCCCCCUACGGAAUACCCAAUCAAAAUCACCCCUUUUGUAGAAUUUUUUUAAAAUUCAUCACAAAAUUAGAAAUUUCUCCUGCAUUUUCCCCCCAAGACGUAGAUAUCUUACUGUUACAUGUCUUCUGAUUCCAGGCUAAUCUAUGCGGGGCUGCUGUUUCUUCUCCCUCUGCUAAGGACUUAAAAGCAGACGGGAAACGCAAUGUGGUGUACAAACCUACGGCCAAGCUCGUCUCCAAGACAACAGUUUCUGUCUUGGCAAAUAUGGUCAGCAUUCAAUAUUCACACCAUUGGAAUUACAGGGCUGCCAACUUCCCCUCUCCCUGUCUGUGCAUGUGUGAGGAUCAUGGCAUAACUCUAAACUGCAUCAUAAAUGUAUUACAAGUUAGUCAUUUAGAUCUAUGUUAGCAUUCUCCAGAAAUCUAUCUUGACAAGCAUGGCUAGUGAAACUAUUCUUUUAAAUUCUUGUCCAUCUGUGGAGUCCGGACUUAGUUAUAUAUUGGUGUAAGCUAAUGGUCCCAUCAAUAGCGAGAAGAUGGCACUAACCUGUAAUUAAACAUGAUAGGCUGAGGAAUUACUGGGAUAGGAGAUGUUUAAACGCCAGAAGCAGAGGCAAUUAAGGAGUACUACUAGUUAGUAUUGGGAAUCAAGCUAAAAGCAAGAGAUAGAAAAUCAAGAGAUGAAUAAAAUGAUAGUACUAGUAGUAUUAUUAGUUUACUUCCAACCAAAGGUGGUUUUUCCAAAAGCCUCAUAAUCAAUAAAAAAAUGCCCAAGUACCCAAAGAAAUGCGGUAAGCAGAUCAUUUUACAGUUCAAAGAAGCAAUCUUGAUUCUUAGAAGUACAAACAUCAAUAUAAAUUUCUUCUGCAACUCCACAUGUAAGAGAAAGAAAGAAAUGUUUAGAGCAACAAUAAUCAAAUUGAAAGACGUAAACACACAAAUAUAUUGGAUGAGAUAUAAUUCACUAUAAUAGAUUUUUUCCACAACAUCAGCAUCACCUUCUACUUUCUACAUUUAUUUAAUUGCAAGGUAAACUGACAAAUUUUAGCAGCUAACUUGUACAUAAGUACCCUCAAAUCCUAAACAUUCAGGCAUUAUUCCGAAAAGGUUCCAAGCCAAACUUUGACUAAUUAACUAAGACUCAAACAAACAAGACACUCGAAACCAAAGACCAACUUGUUCUUUUGUUCACAUAACAGUGUAAAUUAUAAGCUUAAUAUAAUAAUAAUAACCGUAUAGAAUCAAUACCACAAAUUAUAAAAAAAAAACCCCUAAAAAAAUGUUUAAUUGGCAAAAAUUAAAUUUUGAUGUUACCUUCGUAAGCUCUAAAUCUAUCUGGAAAAUCUGGAAUAGUAGGGAGAGAGUAAUUAGCGAUCCAGGAGAGGAAGCAUGAGAGAAUGCACGGUGACGACAAAUGUAGGCAACACCAGGCCAGCGGAGGUGGAGGCACAAGUCAACACAAAGAGGGGAAGGAAAAAACUGAUAGAAACUAAUUGGAACCCCAUAAUUUCAACUUGAGUUGUGCAAAAGGCAGGGAGUGGGGCAUGGAAGGGUGGAGGCGGCAGCAAAAGUGCCUCUAUCAACGUAAUUGGAGGAGGAGGCGGCGGCGACGAAGAAUGCUCCAUCAGAGCUUCUGAUAUGGCGAUCGAUAAUUGAAAGGGAAGGAGAGAGGUUUGCGUUUUUUCCAUCCGUUUUAUAGUUGACCCAUUUUUGAGUUUUUACUCGUACAAGACCCGCGUGUCGACCCGAUUAGGAAUUCAGCUAUGGAAUUGGAAUUAUAAUUCUUUUGGUCCGGCAAAGAAUUGAGAUUGUGGAAUUGGAACCUCUUGGAAUUAGAAUUCAAUGCUAAUUCUAUGGAAAAUGCAGCGUCCAAAUACAAGAAUUAGAAUUGGGGUUCCAAUUCCAAUUCUAAACCCCAAUUCUAUGGGAUACCAAACGCACCCUUAGAGUCUUUCGUAGAAUCUAUAUCUAUAUAAAUUUGAGAAGGAAUUUUUAGCAACAAACCUUCACAAACCUUCUCACUCUCAACUCUAUUUUUCUAGCAUUUUACAUUUAAUUUAUUUCGUAAAAAAAUAUCAUGGGCACGUUACACCCCUCACGUUUCCCUCAAACAAGAAGUUAACUCCAACUAACACUCCCACGUUUCCCUCAAACAAGAAGUUAACUCCCACCAAUACUCCUUACACACCUUACUCCAACUAACACUCCUCACCCACUUUCCCACUACAAUAAACAUUUUCACAGAUCAUCUCCAUGAAGGCAAGGUAUACUGGUUUCAAAAUAUAUAUGUAAUUCCGGCAAAUCUUAAAUAUCGGCUUGCAUCACAUCAGUACCAAUUAUCAUUUGGAAACGAUAUGAAGAUAGUGAAUAUUUUAGAUGAUUGUGGAACCAUACCCCGUUUCAAGUUUAAUCUGGUCAAACUAUGAGAUACAGAACAACACAUGGACAAUGAUUUACAAUUGAUAGGUAUUUCAUUCUUCAUUAACCAUACUUCUAUUUAAGUUGCAUAUUUGAACUGGUAUUACUUAUACUUUUUGAUCUUUUGCAAAUGUAAUUGGUUUAGUUGUAUCUGUUGGUUCACACUAUCAAACAUCUAUCAAUAACAAAACUAAGUGUGACAUACUUUUACUUGACAAAAGGUUAGUUAAUAGAUUCAAUAUCUUUAAAAUAUUUUAUAUUCUGCAAAUUUUGAUUGAUACUUACCAAAAUUCUCUAAAUGAAGUUUGACAGUAGUUCGGUUGACUUUAUGUGAUAAAUUUGCAACUAAUGAUGGUGAACACUUGCAUCAAACUGUUAUAAAAAAUAAUAUUUUGCUAGCCUGUGGUAUUUGUGUGAGAAAUUAUAAAGGUAAUUCAAUUUAUUUUCACUUUAUUUUAUUUUAUUUUAUAGUUUAUCAAUAAUAUAGCACAUUGUGCAGGACCGUCACUUUAUACUAUUCGAGCAAGCAAAUUGUAUGUCAAUUACUACUUAGAUUUUGCUCAAUACCUAUACAGUUGGUAAAUUUUACAAAUACCAAAAUAUUAAAUUAUUAAUAAUAUUUCAUACCCUUACGAAUAUGUAUUUGAAAAAUUUGCAGGUUUGAGAAUGAUAAAUGUGCUCAGAAAUUAGUGACGUGGUUGCGGUCAUGCAAAUUUACAAUGUCCCAAGCAUCGUUGAUAUCAAAUGCUAAGAGAAUAUGGAUAUUCGAAUAUACAGUUCUACUUACGAUACAAUUCCUCUCAAUUAAUUAAGUGAUGAACAAGUAUCUAUAUGUAGUUUCGAAUUAAUAAUUGUAAUCUAUACAUUCUUUGGAUGGUUUUAGGUUAAAUAUUUUCGGAUACUUGCUUACAUUCAAAGUAUCAAUAUGGAUAAUAUGUUCCAUGAGUUAUGCAAAAAUUGUGGACAAUCAUGUCAAUCUCAUUUUGCAAAAAUGGUGUGUAUCCAUUGUUAUAAUGUAGUCGACAUUAUUGUCAGGUAAUUAUUUUCAUAUAUUUUAAAUUUUAAUAUAAUUUUUUGCAUGAUACAUCAUAAUUUCUUCUUAACAGAUACAAUGUUAACAUAGAAGUUAGAAAUUCCAGUGGUAACCUAUACCUCACUCUUCAAGACAAGCAUGCACGAUUCAUAUUUCGUUGUGAUGCUUCUUAUCUUAGAGAUUUAAAAACAAAGGUAUACAUUAUUUAUAUGUAUAUAUUUUUAUAUAAUAUUAUUUACAAACUGUCUAAAACAAAAUAUAAUUUUGAAUUAUGUAUGCUUUUAAUUGUCAGGAAAAUAGAGGUGCAUUGUUUGACCAACACAUUAAUUCAUGCAAAAAUCGUGAAUUCUCAUUUAUAGUACGAACUCCACAAAAAUCAACAAAAUUAAUUAAAUCCCCAAUACUGGCGUUCGUACUCAGAGGUGAUUGGUGUGAAAAAUGUUUACACCUUCGUAGAAGAUUAUCAAAUCAGAGGCAAAAUAUUUGUAAGUAUUUCAUUUACUUAUCAAAUUAAAUAUUCAAUUAUAUUUAAUUGGACCCUUAUGUCACUCAAUCUAUGAUAUAGACUUCUAUUUUUUUUUUCAGGAUCCAACAUUUAUCAAAGUGAUAGUUUAUAAAUAAUGGAGAUGUUUUUAUCAUAUAUUGAACUAUUGUUACAAAGUUUCAUUUUUUAAAUAUACUUUCAUAUGCCCGUGAUUAUUAUAUUUUACUUUUUUUUUAAAAUUUCUCUAUAGAUUGUAAUUUUUUUUCAAAAAUAUAAUCUACUGUGCAUAGCACGGGUAUUUAUACUAGUAAGAGUAAAUUAGAUGGUUAUUGUUAUAGGCAAAAAAAAAAAAAAAGAGCUAAUCAACUUGCUACUCAAUCACUUUAUCAUUAGGGAGUAUUGAUUCUUCGUUUUGACUUUUGACAUUUUGAGUACUCAAUUCUUGAAUUUUGACAUUUGUCUCUUGAAUUUCGACAUUACUCAAGCAUUACCAAAAGUAAAAGUUUAGACACUUGCAUUACCUUCAAGCUCUCUUAUUUCAACUUUCUGCCCAUACAACAUGAAAUCUCCCAAAGGAAAAAAUAAGAAAAAAGAGAGAAAAAAAAACCAACCUUAUUAAAAUGCAAUAGCUCAAGAACCUACAUUAAAUUCUUAUCUCACUCUAAUUACACAUUGUUCGCUUCUUUUUUUUUUUCCUGUCAUUAAAAUUAUUGGAUAUUUAGUUUAUUUUUUGCUACUAGUUUAUUAUUUGCUCACGUGCAAAUGUCAAACAAAUGCUUCGCCCAAUAGGGCUUAAUUGAAAAAAAAAACACUAAAAUAAAGAAAGAAGUGAAAGAAAGAGAUUUAAAAUGUAAAGAAAUGUGGAUGCUCAAAUGUUUUCUUCUUGUGCCAAAUUCAAUAAUUGGCCGAUGCUUGCAGAAAACAUCUGAAAGGGAUGAGCAUCCUCCAUCGAUUUCACCUGCAUAAAACAAAACAAUGGAUAAACACAAGGUAAAACGCAUUCCUAAAUCCUAGAGAAUUCUGUACUGAUUAAAUUAUCUGCAUGAACCUGCAGUCUACGGUCUGGUUUCUGCCUAGCAAAAGGUGGAGAACCCUAAAUCUCCAUUCUCUACUUUCAUGGAAGGGCCACCAACAGUCACUGCCACAGGUCAGAUAUUUACACCAAGCAUGCAAUUUAGGACACAUUUUCAACAUAAAGCAGAAGCUCGAUAUUUCCCUACAAUAUUCCACAAGCAGAACCCCAAGAAAACCAGCAACAAAUGUGACAGGUAAUGAAUCACAAACAGCCUUUCAAGUAGGCAGUAAAAUUUUGAAUAAUGUAUCAAAGAUUAUCCCCAGAAUUCAAUGCAGAAAAGAAAAAUGAAAGGUCUGUAGUUGAUCACUGCCAGUUUUCUGCACUUGUUCUAAAACAUUAAACAAAGAAGAAACAAUCAUGUGUAAACUUCAGUCCACUGCAUACGUCAAGAAGCACCGUUGGUUUUGUCUAGCUGUGUGACACGCGAAUAAACAUUUCCCCAUUCAGUCCUUUCAGAUUUGGGUACAGUUGCAUUGCUGAAAGUAGGUAGCCAAUCAUCAGGGCAAUCAUUUGCCUGAACCCACGUGAGAGACCGUGGUGGGUUUCGGAAGUCAAAGUUCAUAUCAGAAAAGUCUCUAAUGUUUGAUUUGGAUUUCUUUUUCUGGUGAUCUGAAGGGUUACCAGAAGCCUGCUUGGAUGUCUUUUUCCUUUGAUCGGAAGGGCCAUCAGAAGGCUGCAAAACAAAUCAAACAGUUUCAUUUUCUUCAUAAAAGCACACACAUGUAUGCCAAAUUAUGAUGAGAUAAUUUAGUGUUUUGAGGGCUGUGGUAUACUAUCAAUAUGACUGAAGGAAGAUUGUCACCAAACCAAACAUUUAUGCCUGACCGUAGCAUUAGCAUCAGAUUUCAACUUUUUCUUGCGCCUGCUUCCUGUCUCCAGGAAUUCGAGGACCUCGACCUUUGAUCGGAAUUUUAGCCCUGAUGGCGAAAAGAAAUACUGCACAAUAAAAACCACAAAUUGGUAUUAUUAAAGCGCCAUAGAUCAACUUCCAGGCACUUUGCUGAAUAGGCAUAAUACAAUUUGCAUAUUUGUACAGAAUCAUCAGAGCGCCAGGAAAGGCAGUAAAACAAACUAAUGACAAAGUCAACAACAAAAUUGACAUCCCCUACAAUGCAAACUCCUGAGAUGUUAUUGCAGAAAAACUAUGAAUAUGUAAAAACUCCACUUAACUUAGUGCAGAAAAACUAUGAGUGCUCAAUCAAACUGCUAAAAAUAAGAAUACCCAUACUUCACUCAAUAUAGCAGACACACAAACAACUUUAUUUGCAGAUGCGGUUGACCAAGAUUGACUACAACAAUCAACAGCCUAUAACUAGCUGAAUCUAGCUAACAUUUUAAAAUAGCCUGGAUGCACAGAGAUAUAUGCCAAUGUUCAGAGAAACAAAUGAGAAGAGUAUGCAAUUGGCCACCCAGCAGGCAUUCGUGUGAAACCAUUACUAUCUUCUAGGAACACCACAUGGGGAUCUAUCGUUGCAUGAAAAAUAUCUUCUCACAAAUAAAAGAUUAAGAGCAUAUUCAAAGAUUUUGAGCAAAUAUUCCCACAAAUUUUAACUACUAAAUCGCAUGUUAAAAAAAACCAAUAGCAGAUCUAAUGCCAUAAACCUCUUCCGUUGCAUGACUGUUAAUGCAAUUUAUAUGUCCAAAGUAUUUUAAUACACACCGUUUAGCCACCCAAGUCACUUGGCCUUCAAAAGUUGCAUGCUGCCACAAUGAAAUGCUCAUGUCAACCGUGAAUUAUUGACCAAAAUGAAUGUGCAAAUAAUUUAACAGGUAAAGCCGAUAGCCAAACAGGAGAAACUCUCAACACCAAUGAUGGGAAACUAGAAAAACACGAUAGCCACUACUAAGACAAGAAAGAAUAAAGGAAAGGAAGGAAACCGUAAAGCUCACAUCAACAACCCUAUCAGAAUUAUCUUAGGAAAAAACAGUGGAAGUAUUCCAUAUAGAAGACAACCUCCAAAACCAUAACCCUGCCUUUCUAAUCAAUUUUGGAGGGAAAAUCACAAGCAUAUCCUUUCAAAACUUUUAUAAAUUUUGAUCAAGGUCAUUUAUUUUCUAGAUGCAGAGCCAGUCUUCACAUCGCUAAACAGUUAAAAACAGAAAGAGUCUUGAGCAGAACUUACAUAUAAGUCCUCCUAAACAGUUACCAAUGAGGUGGAACUGAUCUCCUACUUUCACUUGACGACACCCACCAGAAUUAGAAAUGAACAACCUAAAGAUAACAUGUAUCUACAUAUAGAAGUCAACUAACAGAAGAAAUUACUUUGUCAGUGUUGCCAGCAGUUUUACCGGCAGUACGGACUUUCCAUGUGAACCCCCAGUCCAGCGGCAGCCAGUCUGGUCUCACCACCAAUGCAGUGCAACCCUUCCUAGCUUGAGGACCCAUCUUUGUUAGCUGUUGCAACAUCAGAGUUGCAGGUGCAGUUUCCAACAUAGAACCAAUCUUCAUUUGCCCCUCAGCAUGGUACAAAGUUUCAUUAUACAUGCCAUUAUCACCAACAGAUUCAUGACCGACAAAUUCAUGAGACCCACCUUGGUUUAGUUUAAGAUUACUUUCUUUAUCAUCAUGAGAUUUUUCCCUAGGUAACUCGAUCUGCUCCUCGGGAGAAGCAUUGAGGUCAAUCAAGGCCUUAUCAUUCAAGGGAGGUGCUACAAAAUGGUAGCUGUGUGAAAAGCGGUCAGCCAUGUUGGAGAGUUGUGAAGCUCUAAAUCUAUCAGAAACUUAGAGAUGGGUUCCAGAAAGCGAUGAGUUUGAUUGACAGCUACAGGAUCAGAAUGGCAACUCUUGGACCAAGCACAAUGCAGUGAAUUAAAGAUAUGCGAUAAAUGGGCAUUUAUGUUGCAAUAAAAAGAGAAUCUAGGACUGGAUAUCGGUCGGAAUACAAUGACUUCAUGAUUUUUGCUUGUCAUCCAUCACAGCACAUCAAUAACCAUGAAAAACAUACGUAUACAAGCGAGUGUAAAAAGAAAAACAGUCAAUGAGAAAAUUUUCACAAAGAAAUCAGUCAUCUUUCAUCUUCUUACCAUAUUUAUUCAGUUAAUGCUUACCUUAAUGCAACUUCAACUUUUAUGCUUAUUUCAAUCUUAUCAUAUUCAAUGUGUCCUAAAAUCUUGCAAGCCUGAUGAAAAGUAUCCAGUAACCUCAUAAUGGGAGUGAUUUUUCUCUUUAUUGCGAUCAGUAUUCUCAUACUUACCCCAUAUUUUGCAAGGGACUCUAAAAUGUUAAUAACGAGUUGUGGAUAAUCCAUAACUCAUCAAGAAAUUUAAAAAAAAAAUGUAUAUAACAAGAUCUCAAUAAUUUCAACUAUCACAAGUAAGAACAUUCUAGUUGUCUCAGCAAAGAACUCAAGUAUGAGUCUUCUUUCACUUUUUCUUAGGCACAUUUUACAUCUAACCAGAGAUUGCAACAACAACUAAACCUGAAGACAAAUUUUUUGUGCAAUUUAACCUCCUAGAUAGAAACUUGCAAGGGAAGAAACAAAAAAACAUGAAGGCAAAAGGGGGAGAACAAGAAGCUUUCAACCAAAGGAACUACCUUAAAAAAAGAAGUUCAAAUAAACCAAAUACUCAGGAGAUUUCUUCAGCUUCUGGAAAUAGAUAAAUCUAUGGCUUAAUGAUAUCCACAAGUAUUCUAGAACAGCUUUACCAAAGUCACAUUAAGUUUAGUGUGGCAGCUUUUUAACCCCUCGAAGUCAAAAAGUUUAAAGGACUUAUGGCUUCAAUAAUAAAUUUCCUCCACAAAUAGAUUUGAGGUAUUUUACUUCAAAUGACAAGGUUACAAGUAUUCCACUGAGCUAGAUAUAUUUAUUUAUGGUUUGUCUUACAUUCUUAUCAAAUAGAUUUCAAAGAUUUCUUGACAGGAUUGUAGAACAAAUGACAUUUCAGUUGAUAUUCAGCUAUUUAAAAAGAUAUAAUCACUUGUAAAGCAUUUUGGUUGGCCUUAACUACUUCUUACAUACAUAUACCCAAAUACAGGAAGAAAGGGAGUAUCAAAGAGAGAUUGCAUCCUAGGUUCUAUAAGAUACCACAAAGAAAGUCUUUGGAUUAAAGUAACUGUGAUCAUCCUUGUAAGUUAGUAGUAAGUAUGCCAUCAACUCUGCUUUUUAAACAGAGAUAUCUUGCAAAAUCCCAUUAAGUAAUGAUUUUGAGAAUGGUUGAGCACCAUAGUAAUAAAAGGCACCAAAAUUAGCACAAAAAUCAGCAAAUUGCAAAGUGAUAAUGUUGAGAAAAAAAUGUAUGCAUUUUGAACUAGAUGUAUACAACAGAGUUUCAUAGCUUCACUUCAUAUUAUGAGUUUAAAAAUACUAAAAAAAAAAAAAACAAAGGCACAGGUGGAAGGAAAUGGAUAAAUCCUUUGCUACCAGAUUUAACAUUAACAAGAACUUAGUUCACAGGAAAAAUAAGUUUGACUAUCUUUCAAUCUCCUAUGCUGCUAUGCAUCAAACAUAUCAAGAAAUUGCGGUCAACCUUUGCAGCUGCAAAACACAAGUGCAUUCCACUAAAACUCUUCCAAGUUCUAAUAUAAAAAUAAUUGGCUUCAUUCAAUGGCAAAUUAGGUAAAAUUUGCAGUGUUAUAUGCAAUGUCAUUAACAUUUGUGUGAAUUUAAAAUAAUAAACUACAUUGACAGUGACCACAGAUGGUCACAAAGAACAAAAUUUAUCAGCAAUAAUUGGUAAUAGAUAAAGAAGUAUGCACUUAAUGGCUAACUAGCAAAAAACACCAAAAUCACAUCUCUUAACUACUCCAAGAAAAGUCCCCCCCCCCCCCAACCAAAACACACACACCAAAAAAAAAAGGUCAUUGAUGCGAGCCCGCCUAGCACAAAAUUUGCAGUUAUGAAGGCUUACAGAUGAGUCCUAAGAUUCCUGAUUACACCUUAUUUCUCGCAGGUUCUUGUGUCAACUAAAACACCAAAAAUAACACGCUACUACUAAAGUUCAAAGAGAGAGAGAGAGAGAAGUCCAAAAAUUAACUCAACAGUGACCAUUGCAAUUAACUGCAAUGUUAUGGAGGCAAAAAUUUCCAUCCUCAAUAUCCACAAUACAACUAUCGAUACAAAGCUACUACAUUUCACCUAAAACACAAACACAACCAAAAAAAAACAAAUUUAAUAAUAGCUUCUAAACAAAAGUGAAAGAUAUUGUCUGGAGAGAGAGAGAGAGAGAAUUACUCUGUCAGAUGUUCCAGCAGUGGCGCCGGAGGUUCGGACUCUCACUUCUAUCUUCCAAUCGUCCGGCAACCAGUCAGGCCGCUCCGCCAUCUCCUCUACUGGUCUUCUCGGCCGCCGUUGUGACAGUGGAGUUACUUCUAUAGCAACAGAGGCCAUAGGAGUGGCUGAAGGUUUGGUACUGGUUUCCGCCGGGGCAGGCUUUUCCUCUGCUGAUGCUGCGUCGUCGACCUUCUGGUCGGGGUCGAUAAACCAACCGGUUUCUAGCAGCGGGUCGGGAAGUAUUUGAUCGUUCAAGGCUAUGUCCGGGUCGACCAGGUUGGAGCCUUGAACCGGAUUUUGUAGGCCCGAGAAAAUGGGCUCGGACAUUUGGGUCGAAAGAGUUGUAUGCCGGGAGGGAAGACGGGCGUGAGAAUUUAAAUCAAAUUCCGCCUACCGGCUGAUUAAAAAAAAAAAAAAAAAAAAAUUGGCUAAGGUUUGUUUAAUAGAUGAAUGGUUUUUUCUAGCUAAGGUUAAAACAAACUAACUAAGCUUCAUUAAAUAAUGAUUUUUUCAAAAUAUCCGUUUGAAUUGCUAUUUCCUAGAGUUUUCGUAGAUGAAUGUAUUGUAAUAAUUUGAUGUAUAUGAGGAAUAAAGAUAAUUGAAAUAUGUGUUGAUGAAGAAUUGUAAAAAUUUUUUGAAAAAAAAAAGACUUUCCAAACAUAUGAUUUAUGUGUCAUAAAACUUUGAUCUUAUCGCCACUCUUAAAUAGUGAUCACUUCAACCUCUAGUAUAUUUAUACAUUUUUAGACAAGAAAAUAUAAGAUCCUCAUCCGCAAGACUCAAAAUUGUUGAUGAAUAAAUAGUAUAUAUUUAGAACUAAACUCUUUCGCAAAAUAUUGAAAAUUUUAGAGAAUUGUAGAAGGGCAUACCAUGUUUGAAGCUAUGAUGUCGAAAUUUGAGUUGUUCCUGUUCGUACUUUGUAGGCCUCAAGAUUUUGGAGGUGAUUGUCGAAAACAAAUUAUUUGCUGACAAAUUCAAGCAAAUCAGGAAAUCAAAAAUCUCGUUAAAUUUUAGCUUUGCUGCAAAUUUUCGCUCUUUUGAUGACUUUGCUGGCUUCACAACUUCUCUCUUUUCCUUCUCUCUGACGGAGUUUUUCAAAAUACAAUGAAUGGGUUAUUCUGUAACCUUUCCUUUUCCUACUCUAAUUUUUUUUCAAAAUAUGACAGAAGGGCAUUUUCCUAUUUCCCUAUUUAUGAGUUUCUUUUUUUUUUUUUUUGGCCUAGAAUGACAUUGUUCCAAUUAAACUUUUCAUGGCUUCAUUUACAUCAUCCAGUUGGUAGAUUUUAUCUGAACAUUAAACUUUUCGUGGCUUUAUUUACAUCGUCCAGUUGGCAGAUUUAAUCUGAACGGUAAGCUUUUCAUGGCUUCAUUUGCAUCAUCCAGUUGGUAAAUUUAAUCUGAACGGUAAGCUUUUCGUGAAAUUGUCUGAAAGGAGAAGCGAACCAAAUUAUGCGGUUAUAUUGAAUUGGAUUACAAUGGUAGAAUUUUUUAACUUCAUUCACCUGGAUGAUAUUCAAAUCAUGAAUUGACAUAUUAUUGUUUUAUACAAAUGACAAUUACACACCAAAAUCCUAUUGCAUGCUAGGAGGAGUGCCGAAAUUAUUUUUAAAGUGAAGUUCAUGCUAGCAGGAAAGUGAAAACUUCACUUGCCUUAUUUAAUGACGAUUUUAUUUGCAGUAGAUUAGGUAAUUAUCACUCUAUGGAUUGUAAAUUAUUUGAGAUAAUUUUGUAAAAAAAGUACUGUAGCACUUUUUUGAUAUGAUAUAUGUGAGAUAAAAAGGUGAUUGGAAAAUGUGUUGAUUAUACAAGCAAAUCAGUGUGUGUCAAUAAGGUGUAAAUAAAAUGUAAGUUUUUACUAUCCAAACACGGUGUUGAAUUUAUGGCUUGGGCCUUGGUGCUAUAGUCCCAAAACCAAAAAAAAAAAAACCGUAUAACACUGAAAUUAUUACAUUUGGUCACUCACAUUUUAAAGCCAUUGUAUCUUGAUCUCAAACUUUAAACAAAAAAAAAAAAAAAAAAGUUAAUAUUGAGCUCAAUACUCUAAAAUACUUAAAAUCUCAAUUUUAUUGAGGUUUCCACAGUAUAAAAUCUAUUACUGUGAUCAUAAUGGUCGCAUAAAGUACUCAGCCUAAGUAUAUAAUAUUUUGAAAUAUCAUUGAACUUUUCUUGUGUUUAAACGCUAUAUGUUUAAAUACACGCUAUCCAACGCAAACAUGUAUCUCUGUUCCUUUUUCUGUGUCAAAACACAAAAACAUAUCCCUUUUUGCAAAUUCUAAUGAAUAUUCAAUUGAUAGUUUACCAACUAUAUAUUGGAUCUUGCUCCUAGUAAUAUUAGGGCUUUUAUAUUGUGCCACAAAGGCAUAAAUUAAAGAGUGGAUUACUUUGUUGGAAAUGAUUUUUGUGCUAAAGUGUAUGUUACUCGGAGGUGGGCAAUAAUCUCUACUUUAUAAUGGACUCACUUCUUCUUCUUCUUUUUCUGUAAUUAACCCUUUGUCUAGGAAACAAAAACCAUACUAGUAUCAUUCACACAAAAAAGAAGAAAAAUAAAAAAAAAAAAGAAGAAAGGCCAAUUAAUCUUCUUAAGGUAUUAGUUUUCAUUUUCAGUUUAAACUUUAAAGUAUUUCCUGAUUUUUCAUGAAGACUAUAAACUAGUAUUCUUUAUAAUAAUAAAAAAAAAAAAAGAAAUUGCAUACAGACUAUAGUUUCAAAAAAAAAAAAAAAAAACUAGUGUUCUUAUCGAUUUUGUUUGGCUUAGUAAAUAAGUUUUCCUUACUCCGUCAACCCCAUCAAGUCGAACUCCAGAGACCUCUUCAUUCACAUUCGUACAUCAGAAUCAGGUAAAAUUAUAACUCAAUAAACCCAUAGUUAUUAUUUUUUUUAAAAUGUAUACAAGUCAAAAUACAGAGAAACGAUCACCGUAUUUGCAGUUCUUGAUUCAUACAUAAAAAGAUUAUUGUGUUUAACUUGACUGGAUUACAUAAAAAUCCCAACUUGGAUCGGUUUAUUUCUGGGUUUGGCUGAAUUCAGUGAUGUUUUGAUGGGUUUUUGGUUUAGUUGAUAAAAUAUUAUGUAGGGUUUUGUAAUUUGUUGAUUAUUGUUCGAUUAUGGCCACGGUUGUGUUGAGUUAUGUGCAAAAUUUAUGGCCUUUUUCUAUCUUGAAAGAUGAUUUGAGGGUUUCAAAUAGUUUAGUGAAGAAAUUGCCAAUACCCGAAAGCACAAAAAGGUUUGUUUAUGCUAUCCAAGAGCCUGAAUCAGGGGCCGUGAUAUAUGUUCUCUGUGUUCAGAAUUUAUCAGAAAGGUCAGCUUUAGAUGCUGAAUGCCUUAUUAAAGUGGUUAAACCUGAUGCCGUGCUCGCCCAGGUUGGUCCCUCGAUCGAGGGGAAUGAGUUUUCUAUGGAGAAAAUUGCAUCUGAAGCUUGUAGUAGCCCAGAUAGUUAUUUUAGUGCUAAGAGUGAUGAUAGGAGGGGUAAUGAGUUUCUGUUGCCAACAUCGGCAUUUGAGGUAUUAAGGAGGUGUUUUUUGCAUAAAAUUAAUAAGGAGAAGUAUGAGAAUGUGGCUGGGAGUUUGGUAUUGAGGGAGAUUUUCGGGGUCAGUUUUAAUGGUCAUUUCUUCUCGGCUAAGAGGGCUGCUGAGGAAGUUGGUGCGGCAUUCUUUUUGCUGGAGUCACCUUUUGUGAAAUGUAGUGGUGAUGGUAAAUGCUCUUCGGAGAUGGACAACGAGGAGGAGGAGGUGGUGGAGGUUGGGUUGGGAACUGGUCUUCGUGGCUUUGGUAUACAACCUAAUAGUUUGGUUCCUCAGAAAGGGAUCUCAAUGGCGUCAAUGAGUUUAAGGCGGUUUUCUGCUAUGAAUGAUGUUCAAUCCUGGAUGGUGAAGUCCUUGUCCAGAGAAUUGAGUAACUUAAGUUCUGUUCUAAAGGUGGGUUCUGAAGAUGUUCAACCCAGGGUUGAUUAUGAGGCCCCACAGUUUUCACAAUCCAUCUAUCCCUUACUCGUUGAUUUACAUGAUAUUUUUGUUGACAUCCCAUAUAUGGGCAGUGCUCUAGCUCAUGCUCAAAAGAUGCUUUCUGCUAUUAAUAAGGGAGAAGCUGUUGAUGGCCAGCUCCUUUCAGAAGUUCAUGUAUUUCGGAUUGCUGUUGAGGGAUUGCGGAUUGCUUUGAAUGAUGCAGCUCGGCUCCCUAUUAACAAAUUGGGGAACCCUCUCCCCUCUAAAUGUGAGUUUUCGGAGCUUCCAGUUCAGGAAAAGUCCCAUGCACUCAUUGCACAAGCUCUUCAAAGCCAGACUACAAAGUUCAAAUCAAUUGUAGCACUAGUUGAUGCUAAUGGCUUAGCAGGCUUGAGAAAACACUGGAAUACUCCUGUUCCAGUGGAAAUUAAGAACAUGGUUCAACAGCUGGUUACUAAUUGUGAGAAUGACAGGAAAAUACUCAGCGACAAGAAGGCGUUGCUCUCAGCAAAACCAAUAUUAGCAGUUGGGGCAGGUGCAACAGCAGUGUUAGGAGCAUCUUCCCUCUCCAAAGUCGUUCCAGCAUCAUCUUUGGUCAAGAUUUUGACCUUCAAUGUUCCUGCUUCGCUCAAACUUAUGGUGACUCAAACCUAUAAGGUUGUUGCUCUUACAUUUGGUAAAAGUGUUGGUCCUUCAAAAGUGAUCGCACCUGGAGUGGCAAGUGGAGUCAAAACGUCUUUUCUGAAGGCAGCUGCUUCUGCUGAGAAAAUUCGUGCUGUAGCUCAUAGCAUUAUAGCUUCUGUUGAGAAAACUAGCCUUUCUGCCACAAGAACUGCAUUCUAUGAAAUAAUGAGGAAACGGCACGUUCAGCCGGUUGGCUUUCUGCCAUGGGCUACCUUUGGAUGUAGUAUUGCUACUUGUGCAGGAUUGCUUAUGUAUGGAGAUGGAAUAGAAUGUGCAGUUGAAUCUGUUCCUGCCGCUCCUUCAAUUGCCAGUUUAGGGCGUGGCGUCCAAAGUCUACACCUGGCAUCUCAGGCAGUCCGGCAAGCUGAAAGCUCCAAAAUACAAAAGUCAAUAGAAUCCCUUCUUGAUAGAUUUAGGAAGAUGAAGGUUCAAUGAUGACAAUUUAACAAUAAUCUAAAGUUGCAAAUUGUUCCGACUUUAAUUUAUCCUAUAAUGGAAUACAUUAAAACGUAUGGUGUAAAUACAGUUCAGGAAGAGGUGUUUAGCAACUUGUUUUUGUAAUUCUUGUUGAUAUGUUGUCUGUAUACGAGAUUCUUAUUUGUGAUUGUGGAUGAAUAAAAGUUGGCACAAAGCUUGCACCCGAGUUCCUUGUCUCUUGAUCUUUCAAGCAGAAACUAGGAUAAGAGUUUCAGAAAUCUGUGUCACCAUUGUCAGCAAGCAUUUAUGCCAGUGUUUUUCAUUUUUGUCUUAUACGUAGCAUUUUGGUAAACACAUCAUAAGCUGUAUUACCAACUAUUUGCUUCAUCUUUCUCUCCUUUCGCUCUUCUUUUCUGCUGUGCAGUUUAACGACAUUCUGUAACGAUUACCCUGCUGCCUCAUGAUGUAUUUAGCUUGUUUCUGCCAGUAACUCCCCGUACUCUUGUCGCACUUCUUGUUUGGUUAUGGUUCUGUUUAAGUAUUUAAAGAGUAUUUUAAUCCUGAUAUAUUUCUUUCUGCAAAGAUGUACCUAUGUUAUUCCUAGGAUCUAUAUCGUAAUGUUGAAACUACAAUGGGUUUUGUAUAAAAAUCAGCAGCUUUGAUCAUGUAACAGAAUUAUGUGGUCACAAAGCAGAUCAACCUCCUGAUUAGAGUCACUGAGAACUCGAAUCAUGUAAGAUUUUAGGUAUAUCUGGAACAUUUUAGUUUUCAGACUUGAUGGUUUCGUCCCUUGUUUUUGGCUUUUCAGCUAAAUUAUCUUUGAGCUGGAUUUUACUUAUCUAGCGGUGAGAUGUCUUUUUUGGAUACAUAAUGCUCCUUCUUGAUCAACCCUGCUAAAUUGUGUUCCUUUAUUGCUACGUGGAAGUAGCUUGUCGGGCAAAAAUAUAACAAGUAGAGAAGAAGAAAAGCUAAGCAAUACCUUAUGGCUUUGUUGUUAGUGGGAGCCGUAAUCAUCCCCUUGGCCCUGUUCUGUCUUCACCUCCUGCUUCAUACAGCAAUGGUCUUGUCUGAUGGUUAGGUAUUCUUUUUGUGCACACUUUCAGAUAUUUUGUCAUUGCUUUGAUGACAAUCCUAGGUAAGGUGGAGGUUCUAAAGACCUGAACUUUAUCUUGACAACAUCUUUUGCAUCUGUGGUUUGGGGUGUUUUGUUAGAAACUGCAAGGAUUUUCUUUGAAUCCUCAUCCGUCUGUAUCGGAGCUCAACUCCAAGACCACUUAUACAGAUGUCAUGGAAUGCUGCUUUAUUUGGCAUUUCAGAACUUAUCCUGUUAAUGGUCUUUCUGAACUGGAUUGUUGCAUGAGGUACUUUUUGACCUCACCUCGUACAAUUCUAGAUGGAGAAUAUACAACAGUUUAUCUUUGUGAAUCCCAGGUAUGCUGAAAUUUCUGGACAAUCAGUAGAGUUAUACCCACUUGUGGAAGAUAGAUGGUACUUCUGAUUGGGGGAUUUCCUGAUGAAAUUAAUCAUCUUGAACCUUAAAAUUUGCAUUAUCUAGCCAUGUUUCUUAUUAGAAGUUUCAUGGAAGUUAUUUGGUUGUUUGAAAAUAGUUAUCGCAUUAACUUAACGCUAUCAAAGUUGAUUAUCAUUUUCAGGUUAUUGUUGGGAAGCUGCUGAACUCAAGAUGGAAAUUGUCUUUCCUUUCUUCUCCUCUUUUCUUUGUAGCUCAAAAGCUCUCUCUUCGUUUCAUUCCUCUACGUAACUCCCAAACUAGGCCUAAUGAAGUUCCGUUUAGAACAGCCCCUCGUCAUUAAUCGCUAUCCGUUGGUGGUUCUAGAAAUAUGAUGAAAUACUACUAGUUUGGCAAUGUAAUUGAUGUGAACUGGUGAUAGACCUUUUUGCUACCAUUUGCUUAGGUAUAAUUGGAAUCCGUACAGAUGCACAAUUGUCUAUAGUUAGAUACAAAAAAUUCACUUUCAAUUUCUAAACUUUGAGUUGGAAGAUACAUUUCGUUUCCAAAUUUUUCAACAGGACGCAUUUAAUACAUAAAUUAACAAUUUCUAGUCACGUUUAGUUCAAAAACAGUAAAUUGCUGUUUAAUCUCCAGAGCAUGAUCUUUUUAUUUGCACUCCGGAGUAUGCUCUUUUUAAUCUUCAAAUUGUAUGCCACGUGGCAGAUUUUGCUUAGUCACUCCAUUUCCUUCUCCAAACCACAAAGCACACCUUAAUACCUUGUCCCAUCACUUCCCAAUCAAUAUAAAAAGUAAAAAAGAGAAUCUAGAAAACUCUAGAGUUUAUUACAGCAACAACAAAUUAAGGCUUCGUCUGGGAGUGGAGGAUUUGGACAGAAAAGAAAGAAAAAGAAGAGAAAGUUAAAAUGGAAGAAUUUAGCAGGAAAGAAAGGAAAAGAAAUGGAAGGAUUUAAAAGGAUGAAUUAUAGUCAAAAUUUUUCCUCCCAAAAACAAAUGAGAAGAAAGUUUAAGGAAGCUUGUUAAAUUUUUUUAAAUACCUAUUUUAUUCUUAAAAAAGUUUUGAACAAAUAUUUAAUAACUUUUAUAUCUAAAAUCAUUCUACUAAUUUUUAAAACUCCCAAAUAACAUAACAGUCUCUUCUCUUCUCUUUUAUCAUAACUUAAGUUUUCCAUUCUUUUCUUUUCUAUCCUAAACUCCCAAACUAAGCCUAAGAUAAUAUUUUGUUUAGUCCAAGGUACCAUAUGCAAAGCACCGGACUAAAAUCAUCAUCUUCAACAUCAGCAGCAGAAUCAGUUUCUCUGGACAAUCAAGACACUGAAAAAACAACUGAAAAAGGCCAAAGAAUAUGGCUUUAAUUCCCACAAAUUCCCAUUCCCAGGUCAAUGAAGGACCCUUGUUUGCAGAAGUGGACAUGGGUGCUGACUCCUCUGCAACCUCUGUUCGUGCCACCGUGGUCCAGGCCUCUACCAUUUUCUAUGAUACCCCUGCCACCCUGGGUUAGUCCAAUUACUGCUUUUUCAAUGGCCCUUUUGCUAAGUAUGUUUUGUUUCUUGAAUAUCUACUGUAUCUGGAGCUUUAAUGGUGACUGAAAUCUUGGGUUUUAGUUUGUUUUCUGAGUGACCCUUUUGAUAAGUAUCUAAAUUUGUUCAUAAUCGACCCCUUCUUCUUUUGGGUUUUAGCGAAUCUCCGGGUAUUGUGAAGUCCUGAAUGAUUGGUGUAGCAGCAUAGGGUGCUUUAGGGCCCUAAAAAAUCUCAUUGUUAGUUGAAGAACUCAAUAAUUUGAACCUACAACAUCCUGCAUGCUGAUAUAUUGGAUCUCAGAUUGAUACUUGUCAGAGAAUUACAUAAUUCAAAUGCAUUUAAUUAAUUGCCUGCAGAUUUUGGUAUGCACGAAAGUAUGUCCCCAUUUUAAAGUUUUAUAAUCUAAAAUCUUUUAAAUUCUUCAGCAUCUGGACUGAAUAAAGUGGAAGCUGCAUCUGCUACUUCUUUGGGUUCAAGUUGAUGAUUGGAGGCCAUAGGAAGUCACAAGUCAACUAGCAUUGCAAUAAUUGACAGAAAAUUUGUAUAUAAACUUGAGAAACCUCUGUCAACUUAGUAUGCAUGGGAACAAUUAAGAACAUUUUUCUACAUUAAUCUCAUGUAUCAGGACCAAGCAUUCUAAACUGCACUGUGCAAAUGACAGGGAUGUAGUUUCCCACACUCACAUACAUACCUGUAUGUUGCAGAAGAAUGAUGAAAAGCAUGGCAAAAGAGCAGCUUACAAAGCAAUCUCUCUUAUCCGCUGACUAAAUGGUCAAUGUGACUGCCUAGUAAAAUUAGGAUCUCAAUAGCUUUCUAGAAGUAGUACAGAUAGACAAAUGCGAAUGGUACUGCUUGGUGUGUGUCUGCACAUGCAUAAGCUUGAGUCUUACCAUGAAUAAAGCUGUUAUUUUGAUGAAUGACACUUCCAUACAAACUGAAAAGUUUAUUUCUGCAUUUAUAAUUAUUGCUGCAGAGGGAACUUUUGUAUUUACUGGUUGUGAUAGGAUAUGCACUCUCAAUCACAAUAGCUCAAAAAUAAAAAGAAGAAGAAAGGCAUUAUCUGGGGCCUUUAUAACAGUCACUGGCUAUGAUUUUCAGCUUCCAGAACUGGUACAUGAAUUAGAGAGUUAGUUAUACAAUUCAAGAAUCUCUUAGAAAAGGAUGCAAGCUUCAUAAGCUUAGAUCUUUUUAAAUGAGCGACAUCAUAUCUUACUUGUAAUUAGUUACAAUUUUUCUGUCUAUCUUCAGAUAAAGCUGAAAGGCUGCUCGCUGAAGCAGCCUCUUAUGGUGCCCAAUUGGUUGUAUUUCCUGAAGCGUUUAUUGGUGGCUAUCCUCGUGGAUCAAAUUUUGGUGUUACAGUUGGUAAUCGUACAGCAAAGGGUAAGGAAGACUUCCGGAAAUAUCAUGCUGCAGCCAUAGAUGUGCCUGGUAAGAGCUUAUGCCUAUUUUUCUUCUGCAAGCAGAUGAUUAGAAUAAAGAAAUAAAACAACAGAAGAUAAAAACAUAAAAAGAUAUAAAAAAGGAGAUGACAGUUUUUUCUUUCUUGCUUCCCUUUGCCUCAAUGCGCGCAUUUGAUUUUUUUAACAAGCAGUGUCGUAAGCAGGACUUUCUUUCUGGUCAAGAGUUAAAAGAGCAUUCUUCAUGCUCCUUCUUGAUGAUGCUGGAUUUACUUUUAGUAGAUGGGAUACAAGUGAAGAGCAAGGGAUACUCUUAUCAAUGCUAGAGGAAAUAAAUGUAUAUUUUGCCCUCAUAUUGUUGUGUGCUGCGGAAUAUAGCUGUCAAGAAGACAUGGAAAGUCUAAUUUUCACCUAUACUGCACUCAUAACUUCAAAGUGCACCAGCACUUAAAUGAGAUAUAUGUUACUUCUGAUAGAUAUCACUGAGGGGCAUUUGAUUGCAGGAUUGUGGCUGCAAGAACUGACCAUUUUAGGAUUAAUAGUGGCAGAAGCAUCUUGCAUUCAAGUUUAACAUGUUUGAGGGAUAUUAAUUGCCACAUGUUGAGCUGUGGGAUACUUGGUUGGAGCCUCUAAUUGGUUAUGUUUUUAACAAGUCAUAGUGCCCACUCUGUUCCAAGGACUAAAGGGUGGUUGAUAAGAAAAUAAUCAUCCUAUUUCGAGUUCAGCUUGAUUUUGUUUGGAUCAUAUUCAUGGGCUGAAGAAGCAUGUUUGCUUCCGUUUUCUGUUUGGCUGUCAUUUUGCUUUGCUAUACUAUUAGAAGAAUUUGUUCUGCUCUUCUUGGUCCACCAUUCUUUGCAUAAUCCUAACAUUGGCUCCAUAUACCAAAAAGUUCCAGUAUCCUCUCAAGCCAUGUUGCUAGUGAUGCUAGAUGGUUUGAUCUAUCUUACUGGAUCCAUUAUUGUGUCAAGUACAUUAUUAAAAACACAAAACUUUGUCUUUUUCUUGCAUGUUGACUCUUCAAUUUCGUUGUUUUAUAUUUUUCAGAGGGAAACCACAGGUAAGGAGAAUUAAUUUGAUGACUGACAUUACCAAAAUAAGCUAUUUUUGGAAGAACCAAUUUCCGCGUACAGAACUUAUGUUGAUAAUAUUGAGAUACUAAAGUAGUGGCCUUAAUUGACAAAAUUGGACAAUUCUAUGGAAAUUGAUUCAGAAGCAUAAAGUUUGUGAUUGUGUUUCUUGUUCUUAUAUACUUUUUGACUGUCAGUUUCUUAGUGAUUGUUCUAUAAGAUAGAAGUUAGGUUAUCUUCAUGUUAAUAGAACUUGUUUUUUGUGAUUCAGGUCCUGAAGUUGAUCGUUUGGCUGCCAUGGCUGGAAAAUAUAAAGUGUAUUUAGUGAUGGGUGUGAUUGAGAGAGAGGGAUACACACUCUACUGUACAGUACUGUUUUUUGACUCUCAAGGUCGUUACCUUGGAAAGCACCGUAAAGUCAUGCCAACAGCUUUGGAAAGAGUAAUCUGGGGAUUUGGAGAUGGAUCUACAAUUCCAGUUUUUGAGACACCAAUUGGAAAAAUAGGUGCUGCAAUAUGUUGGGAAAAUAAAAUGCCACUACUAAGGAUGGCAAUGUAUGCUAAAGGUAAUUUGCCUUUCAAUCUUAGUAUAAACAGAAAAUAGUAGAUUUUAUCCUUUCUGGCACUUUGCAUGUCUGUCCUUACAGUGCAGUCAGGAUUUCUUGUCUAACUUUUUGUGGUUUAGGAUCAUCCUUUCGGCAAUAUAACGUAAAAAACUGAAUGUCAUGUUUCGACAUCUUCCAGGCUGAGCGUGUUAUUCUAUUGUACAUUUAUUUCUUUAAAAUUAUACUUUUCUCUUUCUUUCUUUUUCUUAUUAAAAUGAGAACUUGGUUCAAAUUACAUCCAUCUUCCAAUCUGUUUCAAGUAAUUUUCCAGUUAGCAUAUUGAGAGAGAGGGAGAGAGAGGGAGAGGUGUUAAAUGAGCUUGUGCAGAUGCGGCAGUUGAAGGAUUUCAUUUGUCUAGCUUUUUGUGUACAUGAGCAUGGCAUGUUGUGCUUUUUCAAGUAAUUUUCCAGAUGCAUGCAUUGUACAAAAUCCUCUUUUGGAGUCCACUUGGACUCUUGUCAUUUCUUAUCUAAAAGUUGGUCCUGAUAUUCUCUGGACUUGUAAGGUGGGUUGAAUAAGCCCUAUUAUCAUAUGGGUCAAUUAAAUGUCAUUUCGCUACUACUGUUGUUGGUGUACACCGCAACUUUUACUUCUGGACUUCCAUAGUUGAGAUGAUAGUCAUUGACUGUUAAUUUCUACUGCUCUUUCGCGAAUUUGAAUCUAAUCAUUUCUCUGUUUGCAUUUGAAAUUCUUAGAUUGUUUCUUGUACUAGAUGUUCCAAAUGUUUGUUUAGUGUCAUCUGCUAUCUCUAGUAACAUCAGGUUCACUAUUAAAUCCACGAUAUUGGAAUAAUGGAAUAUUUUACAUCUGAUCACAACCACUGGAAAUUUGUGAUGCUAUGUACAUUUUUUGUGAAAGAUAAUUGACUACAGCUUAAUCUGUCAAAUUUCUACUGUAAUCACUAAUGUUUUCUUUUGUGGGAUUGGUUCAAGUUCUACCCCUGCUUAAUCAACACAUUUCCGUUGGAUUGUUGAUGCGAUUGCUGAUGUUCUUCCAUUGCUUAUAGGCAUUGAAAUAUAUUGUGCACCUACUGCUGAUUCGAGAGAUGUAUGGCAAGCAUCAAUGACUCAUAUUGCUCUUGAGGGUGGAUGUUUUGUUUUAUCUGCCAACCAGUUCUGCCGAAGGAAAGAUUACCCACCUCCGCCUGAAUAUCUCUUUUUAGGCACUGAAGAAGAUCCUGACUCUGUUGUUUGUGCUGGUGGAAGUGUUAUAAUUUCACCAUCAGGGACUGUGCUUGCUGGACCAAACUAUGAAGGGGAAGCACUCAUCUCUGCAGAUCUGGGUAUGUUAUGGUUUGUUGAACUUCUAACCGAAUGCAAAAGCUCUAUUUUAUGUGGGGUAAAAAUGAAUAUGAAUUUCUUACCACCUUGUGUCCUUUUUAGGUUUCAUUUGUUUUCCCUGUAUGUGAACUCAAACAAGUAACCUUCAUACUAUGUGAAGUGACAUUUGCUUUCUUAUAUACUUUUUCAGUGGCUGAAUUUCCCUUUCUCUACAACUUUAGGACCGCUUCCCAUUGUGAAAUAAAUGUUUGUAUCUGACAAAAGGUUUAAUGUUCCCCUUCCUCAAAGCUUGUAUUACUAGUGGUGAAAUGCUACCUGUUAUGCAGAAGUCUUCCGUUCUCUUAGCCAUGUAAAUAACAUUCUCUUCUUGCAGUUAUACUACAAAGCUUUAGUUUGGAUUAGUUUGCAGUUAUUCUCCUCUGAUUCAUACAUCAUAAAGUAGUUUGGAUUAUUUUGGUGAAGCGCUCAGCUCAUUUAACGCACAUUCUCUUCUUGCAGUUAUACUACAAAGCUUUAGUGUGACUACAAAAUCUUGAUGUAGUGGCUUUCUCUUCUAAUCUUCUUGUUUUUUACUUGGAGCAUAUUAAUCUCACCUUUUCUUUGGUUACACAAUUCGUAGAUCUCGGAGCAAUAGCGCGGGCAAAGUUUGAUUUCGAUGUAGUUGGGCAUUAUUCAAGGCCUGAAGUGCUUAGCCUAGUCGUUAGAGACCAUCCUACAAGACCAGUAACUUUCACUUCAGAAUCGGAAAAAGGGGAAGGCACACAGAAGUAGCGAUGGUUUUAUUGCAGAUUAACUACUUGUUUACCUCUUGAUUUGGUGGCAACUUCACUGCUUAUCUGAAGUGGUCCCUGGUAAAUAUAUCCGUCUGCAUCCCCCUGAUGUUUGAUGGUUUGGCUUAUUUUUGUCCAUCUAUCGAAGAGCGACAAUAACAUUAAAUUCUGGUUAACCAAAAAUCAUGUUAGUAUCCCUGUCAACUAAUCACUGUCAGGUUACAGUAAUGCUGCUUGAGUUCGACCUGAUUCUUAGUGGUACAGGGGACUACUAUCCUGUAUACUUUAUUUUUGGCAAAUCAGUGACUCAUAUUAUAGUGGUCCAAAGAUUUUUGCAGUCUCCCUCCUCCCCCAUUUCUCCCCCACACCCCGUCUCUUUCAUAGACAGACAACUUCAACAUGAUAGAUGCUGCCUCUUUUCUACUGAGAGCACAACUAGAUAUAGUCUUGAUUCUCUUGGGGCCAGGAUCAGUAUACUACAGAUCCUAAAUGCCCUGCAGAAAGCUGCAGAAGAAACCUGUCAAGGAAUUAUGAUUCUAUCCAAGGUUUGAAAUGGGGCAAAAACUUGGGUAGACCAUGGUGCCCCAAAUUUUGCCCGGUCUACCCAAGUGUUGGCCUUGAAAUAAAAUAAGACUGUUCUGUGUACGAGCAACUAAAAAUAACUCUAGUAUCAGCUACCUGGGUGAUAGUAAUGGCCUUAUGAACAGUUUAAAAUAACUCUAGUAUCAGCCAAAAAUAUGACUGUUCUGUUGGCCUUGCAGUGAUAGUAAUGGCCCUAUGAACAGUUUGUAAUUGUUCAGAAAGACUACCUUUAGCCCCUAUCCAAAUUAUAUCAUCUCUUGCCCAAAGAAAGAUAAAAAUGAAUUGAAGAAAAAUGGGACACAGAUAAAUUGUGAAACAAGUGAUUUGAAGGUCAACUGAUUAAUGUUCUUUAACUGUUAAACUACUGGGUUUUGGGGACAAAUGUACCUUGAACUAUGUGAGAAUAGGGCAUUGUCAACAUUCCCUGGCCAAAACAUUGAAAGUCUAAAGAUAGAGGUGGCAACCACCUAAAAUAAUAAGAACCACACAUGCCUAUUAUCACAAUGCAAUCGAUGGUUCUGUGUAUGAAUCUUGAAUGUCUCACAAACCCCAAUUUCAAACUAUAGCUGGCAAUUAUAUGAGUGCAUGUGGUCUAAAUAGUCCAAAACAAGUUUUAUAAUUGCGAGGGAAUUAUUGAGACAUGAUCCCUACUUUAUUUCUACUGUGUCAGACAGAACAUAGUCAAGACGCUUUUCCUGAUGUAAUCCAUGCUGGAUUGUACGAAUGGAUUAACAAUUUGAUGCUAUGAUAGAUUCAAUAAUGUGGGGGCAAGAAGACGACUCUUGUGCUUUGUACAUUGUUUUUCCAGGCUCAGAUUCAGCAUAACCAUCCCACAUUGCAUUCCAUUACGUAUACAUCAUGUCUGAUCAAAUUGUAAAUUGUAUUGGGUGCAUUCUCUGAGCUAAGUGACAUAAUUUGACUCUUAACAACCAAUGUUCCAUGUACCCAAAUGCAAUGAGCAACAAAAAAAAGUUUGAUGUAUAUAUAAGCAUUAUCACAUGGAUUAAUCUUUCCCAUACUGACAGUGUAUACACUGUCAUGGAUCUAACGGUGUUAGUGUUUGCACCGUCAGUGUAUACAAGAUUUACUCCAUAUCAUAUUUCAAGCACCGUACAGAGUCUUAGAGGGCAUCUUAUGAUUCUUGAUAAGCAUGGUGCACAUGGGUGGAGCAUAUACAAUCCAAGAAUGGGUUUUCUAGUAAUGAUUAAUUAGAAGAAAUACGUACGGGUUUAGUGUUAAGCAUGUGAUUGGUGGCAACUCCUUAUUAGAAAAAGACUAAAAUCAUGUUUCGAAGUUUGGAGAGUGUAAUGCAUAUUUCUGCUCAUUAGGUGUAUUGUGAAAUGCUGAAACAACGUCAUUUCUUCAACCUCACAAGCUAGUGCAGAUUGAUAACUCAAAACAAAACAUGGGAAUGGAGUGACUAAGGGAAGACAUUCCAAGCUGUAACUUCAGCAUCUUUAUUGCCAUUGACAAAGAAAAAAGUAUUGUACACUUUUUUUAUCUUACACAACCUGCAGAUCACAAAAUUCUUUGUUUACCAUUCAAGUUCCCUCACUUUUUAAACAACUCAUUGAGGCAAAUGCAGCCAUCAUUAGGAACAUUUGCCCAUCUCUAUGAAGUACGUGUAGAAAAUAUGCACUAUGCAAUAAAAGUAAACCACAACAUAACGAAGCCAUUUUCUGAUACUGUUGAAAUCAGAUCUUUAGCUUUGCUUUCAAAGUGCUCGUUGCAAUACU